GACGAACGCUGGCGGCGUGCUUAACACAUGCAAGUCGAACGGAAAGGCCCUGCUUUUGUGGGGAGCUCGAGUGGCGAACGGGUGAGUAACACGUGAGUAACCUGCCCUUGACUUUGGGAUAACUUCAGGAAACUGGGGCUAAUACCGGAUAGGAGCUCCUGCUGCAUGGUGGGGGUUGGAAAGUUUCGGCGGUUGGGGAUGGACUCGCGGCUUAUCAGCUUGUUGGUGGGGUAGUGGCUUACCAAGGCUUUGACGGGUAGCCGGCCUGAGAGGGUGACCGGCCACAUUGGGACUGAGAUACGGCCCAGACUCCUACGGGGGGCAGCAGUGGGGAAUAUUGCACAAUGGGCGGAAGCCUGAUGCAGCAACGCCGCGUGCGGGAUGACGGCCUUCGGGUUGUAAACCGCUUUCGCCUGUGACGAAGCGUGAGUGACGGUAAUGGGUAAAGAAGCACCGGCUAACUACGUG
rnacentral:rRNA from 1 species